GACUAUAGCCAUGCCACCUUGAACACGCCCAGUUUUGUCUGAUCUCAGAAGCUAAGCAGGGUCGGGCCUGGUUAGUACUUGGAUGAGAGACCACCUAAGAAGACCAGGUGCUGUAGGCU
rnacentral:rRNA from 1 species